rnacentral:rRNA from 1 species
UACGAAGGGGGCUAGCGUUGUUCGGAAUUACUGGGCGUAAAGCGCGCGUAGGCGGACCUGCAAGUCGGGGGUGAAAGCCCGAGGCUCAACCUCGGAACUGCCUUCGAUACUGCGGGUCUCGAGUCCGGGAGAGGUGAGUGGAAUUCCUAGUGUAGAGGUGAAAUUCGUAGAUAUUAGGAAGAACACCAGUGGCGAAGGCGGCGCUCUGGACCGAGACUGACGCUGAGGCGCGAAAGCGUGGGGAGCAAACAGG